AAUAGAUACCCGGUAGUCCACGCCGUAAACGAUGAAUACUAGGUGUAGGGGUUGUCAUGACCUCUGUGCCGCCGCAAACGCAUUAAGUAUUCCGCCUGGGGAGUACGGUCGCAAGAUUAAAACUCAAAGGAAUUGACGGGGGCCCGCACAAGCAGCGGAGCAUGUGGUUUAAUUCGAAGCAACGCGAAGAACCUUACCUAGACUUGACAUCUCCUGAAUUACUCUUAAUCGAGGAAGUCCCUUCGGGGACAGGAAGACAGGUGGUGCAUGGUUGUCGUCAGCUCGUGUCGUGAGAUGUUGGGUUAAGUCCCGCAACGAGCGCAACCCUUAUUGUUAGUUGCUACCAUUAAGUUGAGCACUCUAGCAAGACUGCCCGGGUUAACCGGGAGGAAGGUGGGGAUGACGUCAAAUCAUCAUGCCCCUUAUGUCUAGGGCUACACACGUGCUACAAUGGCAAGUACAAAAGAUGCAAUACCGCAAGGUGGAGCUAAACUUAAAAACCUUGUCUCAGUUCGGAUUGUAGGCUGAAACUCGCCUACA
rnacentral:rRNA from 1 species